CCUACGGGUGGCAGCAGUGAGGAAUAUUGGUCAAUGGGCGCGAGCCUGAACCAGCCAAGUCGCGUGAAGGAUGACUGCCCUACGGGUUGUAAACCUCUUUUAUAAAGGAAUAAAGUGAGGCACGUGUGCCUUUAUGUGUGUACUUUAUGAAUAAGGAUCGGCUAACUCCGUGCCAGCAGCCGCGGUAAUACGGAGGAUACGAGCGUUAUCCGGAUUUAUUGGGUUUAAAGGGAGCGUAGUUGGGGUGUUAAGUCAGUUGUGAAAGUUUGCGGCUCAACCGUAAAAUUGCAAUUGAUACUGGCAGUCUUGAGUACAGGUGAGGUAGGCGGAAUUCGCGGUGUAGCGGUGAAAUGCGUAGAUAUCGCGAAGAACUCCGAUGGCGAAGGCAGCUUACUGGACUGCCACUGACGUUGAGGCACGAAAGUGUGGGUAUCGAACAGGAUUAGAUACCCCUGUAGUC
rnacentral:rRNA from 1 species